AGAGUAAAUUUUAUGGCAUUACAUCACUUCAUAGCUAUUUACUCUUAAGAGUAAAUAGCUAUGAAGUGAUACAAUGCCAUAAAAUUUUGAC
rnacentral:pre_miRNA from 1 species